rnacentral:lncRNA from 1 species
CCGGGCGCGCGGGGUCGGCCGGCCGCCUUCGCUGCUCCGCCGCGGCUCUCAGCGCCGCUCAGCGCGGCGGGCCCGCCCGGGCUCAGGUGCCCCCCGCUCUCCGGACCUUCUCGCCCGGCCCCGCGUCCCCUCCGCGGGCUUCCCCCGGCGGCCGGCCGGGCUCGGAGGCUCGCGGCCGGAGCGGAGCGGAGUGCGCACGCCGGGGUGGCAGGACUUCGGCAAGACCAACUUUCCGGUUCGGAAGCGGCGCGGGCCGCGCGGCUCCUCCCCUCCUCUCCCUCCCCUGCGUUCCCCCUCCCUUCCACUCCCCCCUCUCCCCGCCCCCCAACCCGCGGGCCCCACCGACUCCGGAGCGCCCGCCCCGCCCGCUGCUGCCACCGGGCCGCCUCGCCCCCGCGCCAGCCCGCCUGGGCCUCUGCGCCGCCGGCGGCUUCUUAAAUACAGGAAAGGGAGGGGACCGCAGGGCCCCGGUGUUCCCCACCCUAGUCCCCCUUCACCACGGGCCACCGGGCGCCAGCGGAGUGGGCAGCGAGCGCGACCGAAAGUUCCAACUCCACCAAACUCCCGCGCGCGGCCCACCCUUUCCCGGGAUUUCGGGGAUGACACGGGGGCCAGUGGUCCUGUCUGGUGUGAACCGUCAGCACAGAUGGCCUCCUGGAGCUUCCCCGAGUCGUUCGCUGGGGGAAGCGGGCGGUGAGCGGCCAGCCCGGGCGCUCCGCAGGCCGCGAGCUCCCGGCAGGGCUGGUGGCGGGGGUCCGCCUGGGGGAGGAAUCCCCGCCUGCUCCAUCGGACCCGGCCUGGCGCGGCUCGCGGCGCUCGGCGGGCUCCCUUCCAUUCUAGAAUCUUCCCGCUUGCUUCCCAGCCCGCGUUCUUCCGCCUGCCUUUAAUUGUAAUUUACAGGAUUAAGGAGUUUGGGGAAGUCGCAGAGCUGCAGCGGAAAGGCAGGGGUCUGAGACUACUUUUGAGAAGAGAAACAACGCAAAACGAUCGCUGGAGGGCCAGAGCCCUGGUCGAAGAAGCAGACACAGGUUCCCACGGCGUCUGACGCCUGCGGAGCAAGUCCAGAGCCAGCUGGACUCGCAGCCUCUGGCCCGGCGGCACCAACUCCUCACUGGGUCAUUUUGAGCGCGCUGUGCCCACCUUUUCUGUUGCGUGUGGACGUGGGGAGGAUCUUCUAAGUCCCUCCAACGAAGGCAAGUGUGAGACUCUGGCCCUUUAUUUGUAAGAAGCAAGCCUUCAGAUUGCAGAAGUGUCGCGCGGGUCGCCGUGCGUUGCGCGAGUGGGAAGAUGGAGGAGGCCGGCACGCUGCUUUCGUGGACGCAAGUGAACCGGGCGUGAAGGCAGGGUGCGAGCUCUGCCCUUGGCCCAGCCCUGCGUGGGCGCCGUCCCAGAUUCCGGGCGGUGCGGGGUGCAGAGAUCUGGAGAGACUUGCGGGCUCCCCAGCGCAGGCUGCUCUGGGAUUUCGUUGGAAGAUCCGGCAGAGCCUUGGAGGAGAGGGCCCGGGAGGCUGUGUGUGCAGCGGAAACUUGUACGAAUGCCCCCACAGCGGAAAUGGUGCGCACGAGUAAUUUCUGCGGUGCACCCUUUUAAAAAUUGACAAGUGAACAAGAUCAAUUUUUUAAGAAAGCAAAGGUAGAAAACAAAAGGCGUGCGACUUCUUGACUGGCUUGUUCCCGCCUUUCUUCCUUCUCUAUACUCAGAUCAGAAACUUUUCUUUAAUUGCUCUUAUUCAGUGCGACAACUUUUAAUAAAAGCAUUUGCAUUUUAAGCCUGAGUUGCAACCAUAGAUUUAUUGCGAAGUGACAACGUGUCUAUGGAAUAUUUUCGCAGAUGAGACAGGACAUGCGCUCUAGUCGUGCCCAGAUUAAAGCGACGCUGGGCCAUGUGCCUGUGUAGUGCAGACUCGGAGGGGCACACACAUACUCGUCACCACAUGACCACUGUCUAUUAAUAUUGUCAUACCUAAACACUCGCAAAAACAAAAGUUGCUUUUCUUCCCUGUAAUUAAAUCUAAUUUGUUAAUUGUCUUUCCUCUUGCAAUGUUGUUUUCAUCUUGAGGUGACACAUUAUUAUUUUGUCUAAUAUUAUUUACAAAUUAAUGCUGUAUAUUUUACAUUAGUGAAACAUAUAAUUAGGUGUUUGGUUCAAUCGGUAUCAUUCAGAUAAAACAAAGCCUAUCUGCAAGAUUGAUUGGAAGUGGAGUAGUUGGUUCUAAUUUACC